rnacentral:rRNA from 1 species
GUCGAGGGGUAUUGGUUUUCGGACCAGAGACCGGCGCACGGGUGCGUAACGCGUAUGCAAUCUACCUUUUACAGAGGGAUAGCCCAGAGAAAUUUGGAUUAAUACCUCAUAGUAUUAUUUACUGGCAUCAUUAAAUAAUUAAAGUUCCAACGGUAAAGGAUGAGCAUGCGUCCCAUUAGCUAGAUGGUAAGGUAACGGCUUACCAUGGCGACGAUGGGUAGGGGUCCUGAGAGGGAGAUCCCCCACACUGGUACUGAGACACGGACCAGACUCCUACGGGAGGCAGCAGUGAGGAAUAUUGGUCAAUGGGCGCAAGCCUGAACCAGCCAUGCCGCGUGCAGGAUGAAGCAUCUAUGGUGUGUAAACUGCUUUUGUACGAGAAGAAACACUCCUACGUGUAGGAGCUUGACGGUAUCGUAAGAAUAAGGACCGGCUAACUCCGUGCCAGCAGCCGCGGUAAUACGGAGGGUCCAAGCGUUAUCCGGAAUCAUUGGGUUUAAAGGGUCCGUAGGCGGUUUUGUAAGUCAGUGGUGAAAGCCCAUCGCUCAACGGUGGAACGGCCAUUGAUACUGCAAAACUUGAAUUAUUGGGAAGUAACUAGAAUAUGUAGUGUAGCGGUGAAAUGCUUAGAUAUUACAUGGAAUACCAAUUGCGAAGGCAGGUUACUAUCAAUAUAUUGACGCUGAUGGACGAAAGCGUGGGGAGCGAACAGGAUUAGAUACCCUGGUAGUCCACGCCGUANACGAUGGAUACUAGCUGUUCG